AUACGUAGGGGGCGAGCGUUGUCCGGAAUGAUUGGGCGUAAAGGGCGCGUAGGCGGCCCGGUAAGUCUGGAGUGAAAGUCCUGCUUUUAAGGUGGGAAUUGCUUUGGAUACUGUUGGGCUUGAGUGCAGGAGAGGUUAUCGGAAUUCCCGGUGUAGCGGUGAAAUGCGUAGAGAUCGGGAGGAACACCAGUGGCGAAGGCGGGUAACUGGACUGCAACUGACGCUGAGGCGCGAAAGUGUGGGGAGCAAACAGGAUUAGAUACCCUGGUAGUCCACACUGUAAACGAUGAAUGCUAGGUGUAAGAGGUAUCGACCCCUUUUGUGCCGGAGUUAACACAAUAAGCAUUCCGCCUGGGGAGUACGGCCGCAAGGUUGAAACUCAAAUGAAUUGACGGGG
rnacentral:rRNA from 1 species